rnacentral:rRNA from 1 species
UACGUAGGGUGCAAGCGUUGUCCGGAAUUAUUGGGCGUAAAGAGCUCGUAGGCGGUUUGUCGCGUCUGCUGUGAAAACGCGGGGCUCAACUCCGCGCCUGCAGUGGGUACGGGCAGACUAGAGUGCAGUAGGGGAGACUGGAAUUCCUGGUGUAGCGGUGGAAUGCGCAGAUAUCAGGAGGAACACCGGUGGCGAAGGCGGGUCUCUGGGCUGUAACUGACGCUGAGGAGCGAAAGCGUGGGGAGCGAACAGG